rnacentral:lncRNA from 1 species
CCCACCCACCUACCUAACAACACCACCCACCUACCUAACAACACCACCCACCUACCUACCUAACAACACCACCCACCUACCUAACAACACCACUCACCUAACAACCCCACCAAUGGCGGACUGGCCGUCGGGAGCACCAGGACAUUUCCCGGUGGCCUGAGGGUCGUUUUGGCCUGCCGUGAAUAGUCAACUUGACCAGCGAUAAUAUAGCAAGCAGGAAUAAGUUGACGGAGAGUCCAUAAAUCAGGCGCGACACUCACACUCUCGCUGCAGUGUCCCCGUGCCAAAAAUGACCUCAGGUCUCUCCACGACGCACAUAGCAACCUUCUACCUGCUUCUCUACCGAUAACAUUUUAGACAAGUCGCACGGCGAAAUGGACGGUGAGAAAAGGAAAAGUGGAGCAGAGAGGGAGAGAAUAAAAAAGAGAAAGGCCCUUGCCACAGAUGCAGCUAAAUGCUGCAAAAUAAGCGACAUGUUCGCCAGUAAGGGACCAGGUGGAGAAGGAAGCAGCAGCAUCACUAGAGCUUCAGGUGCUCCUGUAGAACCAGAGAUGGUGGUCAGUACAGAGUCAGACUCAGAGCAGGAACCUUCAGCUCGCCUCCCACUGCGCUGCCAUCUUCCCCCUGCCCUGCCUCCGGUGGCCUCUCUGUCGCCAUGGAGCACCCCUCCCCAGGUGCCACUCCAUCGUCCUCACCACCGUGUCCCCCGUCACUCGCCUCUGGUUGCCUCCGCUCCGCUGUGGACCCCCCCUCCUCCGGUGCACUCUCCACUCUCGGUAAGUCCUCUGGUCCCACUACACCUUCAAUGCUCACACACCCCGCGGGUACAGCACACCGACAGCAACGGUAAGCUUCAUUGACCCCUUGCCCAAAGCUAGAAUCGCUGCAUUUUAGAUGAAUCCACUGUGCACAUUUCAAACAUACCAAAGCUUUGCUGUUACUCUUUAUCCACCGUUCGCAAGAGGAGCAUAGGCUGUUUGAUGGGGUUCGAGAUAAAGUGGGGUCCAGGGAUUUGAUGGAUAUCACCCGAUAAGAGAAGGCAUAGAGUUAUUAUAACAUCUCCACCAUUAAUUUGCGAUUUCAGACUGGAUUUAGAUGAUCGUUUUGGUUUGUGCCAAGGUGCUAUGAAAGUUCGGUACAUAACAUUCCUUCCAAAUCCGAAGUGCUGGAUGCCAUCAAGCGUGUUUGCAUGACUGAGAAGUUGCUGAGAAUUUACUCUUCUUUCAUCUAAAUAGCAGAUGCAAUUAU